rnacentral:rRNA from 1 species
CGCGCGAUACAGGGUGACAGCCCCGUACACAAAAAUGCACAUGCUGUGAGCUCGAUGAGUAGGGCGGGACACGUGGUAUCCUGUCUGAAUAUGGGGGGACCAUCCUCCAAGGCUAAAUACUCCUGACUGACCGAUAGUGAACCAGUACCGUGAGGGAAAGGCGAAAAGAACCCCGGCGAGGGGAGUGAAAAAGAACCUGAAACCGUGUACGUACAAGCAGUGGGAGCACGCUUAGGCGUGUGACUGCGUACCUUUUGUAUAAUGGGUCAGCGACUUAUAUUCUGUAGCAAGGUUAACCGAAUAGGGGAGCCGAAGGGAAACCGAGUCUUAACUGGGCGUUAAGUUGCAGGGUAUAGACCCGAAACCCGGUGAUCUAGCCAUGGGCAGGUUGAAGGUUGGGUAACACUAACUGGAGGACCGAACCGACUAAUGUUGAAAAAUUAGCGGAUGACUUGUGGCUGGGGGUGAAAGGCCAAUCAAACCGGGAGAUAGCUGGUUCUCCCCGAAAGCUAUUUAGGUAGCGCCUCGUGAAUUCAUCUCCGGGGGUAGAGCACUGUUUCGGCAAGGGGGUCAUCCCGACUUACCAACCCGAUGCAAACUGCGAAUACCGGAGAAUGUUAUCACGGGAGACACACGGCGGGUGCUAACGUCCGUCGUGAAGAGGGAAACAACCCAGACCGCCAGCUAAGGUCCCAAAGUCAUGGUUAAGUGGGAAACGAUGUGGGAAGGCCCAGACAGCCAGGAUGUUGGCUUAGAAGCAGCCAUCAUUUAAAGAAAGCGUAAUAGCUCACUGGUCGAGUCGGCCUGCGCGGAAGAUGUAACGGGGCUAAACCAUGCACCGAAGCUGCGGCAGCGAC